UCAAACUACGUCUUUUCAAUCGUGGAUUGUAAAUUUAACCCCAUGGGCCUAGGGAAGGCCCUAUAACAAUACUUUCGACACAGUUAUUAUCUCCGGUGCCUCCACCAUGUUACACACAGUGCUCACUGCUGAUUCUAAAAUGCGCCACCUAGUCAAAACAGGACAUAUGUUCUUCUAGGAAUAGAUCUCUUUCCAAUAUUUCGUCAUUCCACUAUCGUCAUCACCUCAUCAUACUUUCAUUGACAUUACAGGCACACAUCCACAGAGCACUCUUCAAAUCAUCUACACAGUGGUUAUCCAACUAGGAUUAUAAAGGCACACAUGGACAUUGACCACUGUUGCAGUCAACGACACAGUCGCUAUCCAAGUAGCAUUAUAGAGCUGUCAUGCAACGCAACAACUGUGCUAUCUGCCAUCGCACAUCAACGAAGAAGUGCAGCCGCUCACAUUCCACCUCACGUCUGUCCGACCAGCUGCAAUCCUCGAGGACGCCCCACUGUACCACGAUUUCACUACGAUGUUUGACAAGAAGGAGCAGUGCGCGAGAUAGGCUAAUGAGCAGACUUCCCUCGCUUGAGUUUCAGAAGAAUGUUCCAUAUCGCGCUAAGCUGACCACUGCUGACCAUGACAGGCGUGCAUUGGACUGGUACAGGUUGGAACUAAACAUUGAAUAUGCUGGUGGUGACGCUUUCUGAUGAGAAGUUGGUCGUGACUGAUGCAGUAUCCUUGGACUUGUCCACAGCAUCGUUCAAUCAUUGCUCUCUGAGCUGCCUUGA